GGUUCUAGGAAAACCUCAAACUGUCAGGUUUUCACAGCAAUUUACCUUUACCCACUGAGCCAACUCGCCAGACCUCAGAGAAGCUUUCUAAUGUCAACAAAUUUGGCAACAGUCAAGCUGUUCUUUUCCUGCUCUUGGCCUCUGUCUAUUCUAUGCUAUGAGGACAUCCAGUUCACUCAAGAGGACCCAGGCUGUGGCCCCCUUGCCUAGGCUGAUGCAUCAGCAAGUGAUUGUGUGUGUAGAGGGGACACCACACUCCUCACCUGUCCUGGGGAGAAGCUGGCAGCACUGUCUCCCUGAGAUGAAGUCCUUCCACCGAAAUACUCCCCAGCUGGCUCCCUCUUCCAUCAGGGCUACAGGUGGGCAUCUCCAAUUAGAAGAAACUUCAAGAAAUCUUUCCACAGUACUUAACAUCUAAUUAUCUUCUAAGGAAAAAAAGUCCUCUUGUUCAAAUCCCAUUGAUCAGAAUUUUGUUUGUUGUGCCAAAACUC